rnacentral:rRNA from 1 species
AGUGAACGCUGGCGGUAGGCCUAACACAUGCAAGUCGAACGGCAGCACAGUAAGAGCUUGCUCUUACGGGUGGCGAGUGGCGGACGGGUGAGGAAUACAUCGGAAUCUACUUUUUCGUGGGGGAUAACGUAGGGAAACUUACGCUAAUACCGCAUACGACCUACGGGUGAAAGCAGGGGAUCUUCGGACCUUGCGCGAUUGAAUGAGCCGAGGUCGGAUUAGCUAGUUGGCGGGGUAAAGGCCCACCAAGGCGACGAUCCGUAGCUGGUCUGAGAGGAUGAUCAGCCACACUGGAACUGAGACACGGUCCAGACUCCUACGGGAGGCAGCAGUGGGGAAUAUUGGACAAUGGGCGCAAGCCUGAUCCAGCCAUACCGCGUGGGUGAAGAAGGCCUUCGGGUUGUAAAGCCCUGUUGUUGGGGAAGAAAAGCAGCAGGUUAAUACCCCGCUGUUCUGACGGUACCCAAAGAAUAAGCACCGGCUAACUUCGUG